UGGAAGGCUGCCCAGCUUUCGGUCGCCCUGCCCGCCUUUCAGCAGCGGCUCUGAAGCCACAACCGUAACACCAGCCGCGGCGGCAGCGGCAAAUCGCCCGCUGAAAGGACAGCCCCUUGCCUUGCCCAGGUCCCCUCAGCGGGAGGGAAAGAGCCAAACGGAGCGGGGAAGAAGGAGAGCGGGCGGAGGAAAAAGUUCCCUGAUCCAAGUCCACUUGGUAAGAAUGAUUUCAUUAAAUUAUCUGUAGCACUCCCUUCAAGAAACAGCAACUCUAUAAACCAAGACAUCCCCUGGAUUGAUGUAUAGGGUGAUACCACUCAGAAGCAAUCUGAUCCAAAGCCAUAAUCACCUGCUUAUUCCAGGUGGUGAUUAAAGCAUCAGUUGGACUGCUGCUCAAAGUGAUCAAGAGUGGCCUGAUCAUGGCAGAUGUUAAUGUCUCCAACCCUCAGAUCAUGUUGCAACUUCCCUAAAGCAAAGACCACAUCCAAUGUGUAAUGGCCUAUGUGCAUGGCACUCUUGAUAAUAUGAUCAUGAUUGCCAUGAACUCCUGAACCACUUCAGACUCCAUCCCAAAGGAAAGCAAAUUGAAGUCACAAUCAUAAGUUUAAGGAACUCUACCACCAACUUAGCAACAGAAUCAAACAGUGCAAGCAGGGGGGCCAGUACAGCAGCAGCAGUCCCAACUGUUUCCUAGAGCCCAUCUUCACAAACAGAAUAUCCGAAGGGCAGCACCACUGAUAGCUUCCUGAAUGACAAUAACCAUUCUACCACCACCACCUGCCCUGGCUACAUUCACAACUGAGAUGGGCAUAUCUCAGAAAGAGGAACAACCCCCCUUCAAAUCGGCCCUCUCGCUCACAAUAAGAUCAGGAAUGAGAGAGGCCUUAUGACAAGCCAAACUAGCACUCAGCAGCAGCAGCAGCAGCAGCAGCAGCAGCAGCCAGAGACCAAGGCCACUGAGCAACAACAGCCAAUGACCUGUUAUUCAGGAUGGUCCAGGGGUUAAGAAGGCAGUAUCUGCUUCAAGCUUCAAACACAAUCUUCCCAGAGAUCAAGAUUCAUUUCACACUUAAAGCAGAAUGAUUAAAAUGAAUGGAACUUUGGGCAGCAAUAACAAGUGUUGUUGAUUUUAUUGAGACUAAAGUCUGGUUCUAACCCUGGGCUUUCAAACUAGAAGCUAGAAGAAAGCUAGAAGAAAGCAAGCUAAUGUUCAGUAAUGGGUGGUGGGAAUCUAUUUCCUUUCUCUUGCACAUUUUGUCCCAUGAGUGCCUCACUGUUGUGCUCCCUCUUUGUGUUUUGACUUAGCUGAAUACUGUUCACUGGCUGUGUAGACUCAGUAGAAGAAAAAUGUUUACCAUUUUCCUCUUGAAGAGACCAAAUAGUUGCUAAAUAGAAGGCUAAAUGGGUCUCUUUUGGAGAAGAGACAGAGACUCCUCUGAAAUUUCAAGUUCCAUCAUACUGUGAGCCUUCUGGAUUCAGCCACCAAAGACAGAUUAAAAUAAUUUGCCUAGGAAUUUAAUUUUGGUGUCCUGUAUAAAGUACAGUUCUUAAUUAGCACGCAAUAACGUUUUAUUGGCAUUUGAAGGCUAAAACAAACUUCAGACGGAUCUGAAUGUUAUACUCUUUCUUAGAAGUAUCUGUUCUUUUCCUUUUUAAUUGCAUCCAAUCUGAGGAAAACAUUUUACAUAACUCACAAACUCAUACAUCUGACUGUGAACUUUCUGAUACAGAAACUAUUUCAUUGUCCUUGUACUUUUAUACUUUUUUUUCUUCAAAUACAAUCUUUCUGUUUUAUCUUAGCAGUAGGUAUUUACCACUUCACUGUCCUUCAAACCUGUAUUUGAACUAAUAUUACCAUAAUCAUUUGUUUAUUCAUUUAUUUACUUAUAUAUAUAUUUUUAAUUCUGUUUAGUCUGUGUGCUUUCAAGUUAGCCCUGACUUGUAGUGACUGCCUGGAAAAUCCAUGCAGGUUUGUCUACAAGAUUUUCGGAAGUUUGCCAUUG